GACGAACCGUGCGAACGUUGUUCGGAUUCACUGGGCUUAAAGGGCGCGUAGGCGGGCGGUCAAGUCAGGGGUGAAAUCUUUCAGCUCAACUGGAAAAGUGCCUUUGAUACUGAUCGUCUCGAGGGAGGUAGGGGCAUGUGGAACUUCCGGUGGAGCGGUGAAAUGCGUAGAUAUCGGAAGGAACGCCGGUGGCGAAAGCGACGUGCUGGACCUCUUCUGACGCUGAGGCGCGAAAGCCAGGGAGCAAACGGG
rnacentral:rRNA from 1 species